rnacentral:rRNA from 1 species
GACGAACGCUGGCGGCGUGCUUAACACAUGCAAGUCGAACGGAAAGGCCCUGCUUUUGUGGGGUGCUCGAGUGGCGAACGGGUGAGUAACACGUGAGUAACCUGCCCUUGACUUUGGGAUAACUUCAGGAAACUGGGGCUAAUACCGGAUAGGAGCUCCUGCUGCAUGGUGGGGGUUGGAAAGUUUCGGCGGUUGGGGAUGGACUCGCGGCUUAUCAGCUUGUUGGUGGGGUAGUGGCUUACCAAGGCUUUGACGGGUAGCCGGCCUGAGAGGGUGACCGGCCACAUUGGGACUGAGAUACGGCCCAGACUCCUACGGGAGGCAGCAGUGGGGAAUAUUGCACAAUGGGCGGAAGCCUGAUGCAGCAACGCCGCGUGCGGGAUGACGGCCUUCGGGUUGUAAACCGCUUUCGCCUGUGACGAAGCGUGAGUGACGGUAAUGGGUAAAGAAGCACCGGCUAACUACGUGCCAGCAGCCGCGGUGAUACGUAGGGUGCGAGCGUUGUCCGGAUUUAUUGGGCGUAAAGGGCUCGUAGGUGGUUGAUCGCGUCGGAAGUGUAAUCUUGGGGCUUAACCCUGAGCGUGCUUUCGAUACGGGUUGACUUGAGGAAGGUAGGGGAGAAUGGAAUUCCUGGUGGAGCGGUGGAAUGCGCAGAUAUCAGGAGGAACACCAGUGGCGAAGGCGGUUCUCUGGGCCUUUCCUGACGCUGAGGAGCGAAAGCGUGGGGAGCGAACAGGCUUAGAUACCCUGGUAGUCCACGCUGUAAACGGUGGGUACUAGGUGUGGGGUCCAUUCCACGGGUUCCGUGCCGUAGCUAACGCUUUAAGUACCCCGCCUGGGGAGUACGGCCGCAAGGCUAAAACUCAAAGGAAUUGACGGGGCCCCGCACAAGCGGCGGAGCAUGCGGAUUAAUUCGAUGCAACGCGUAGAACCUUACCUGGGUUUGACAUGGAUCGGGAGUGCUCAGAGAUGGGUGUGCCUCUUUUGGGGUCGGUUCACAGGUGGUGCAUGGCUGUCGUCAGCUCGUGUCGUGAGAUGUUGGGUUAAGUCCCGCAACGAGCGCAACCCUUGUUCACUGUUGCCAGCACGUUAUGGUGGGGACUCAGUGGAGACCGCCGGGGUCAACUCGGAGGAAGGUGGGGAUGACGUCAAGUCAUCAUGCCCCUUGUGUCCAGGGCUUCACGCAUGCUACAAUGGCUGGUACAGAGAGUGGCGAGCCUGUGAGGGUGAGCGAAUCUCGGAAAGCCGGUCUCAGUUCGGAUCGGGGUCUGCAACUCGACCUCAUGAAGUCGGAGUCGCUAGUAAUCGCAGAUCAGCAACGCUGCGGUGAAUACGUUCCCGGG